UUCGAGUAUUGAGUGAUAUUUUUUGUCAACUAAAUGGAGAUAAAGCUUUUUUAAAGAGUGAGAUGGUGAGCUUUUCGAACAAACCGAACGCGACUGAAGUAAGGAGGAAACAGGUGAACGUACACACGAAGUACUACUAUCAGGAGCGUCAUCAGGAGUGGUGGAGCUCCCGUUUGAGGUCUUCUUCCGUUCCAAUGUGAUGGGGGAGUCGUCAGACCAUGACUUUGUUGACGAAAAAGUUGAAUAAAAAAGAGUUUUAUCGAUUAAUACAGGAAGUUGAAAUAAAAGGCAAUUUUGCACAGAAGAUUUGCAUAUAAGAUAUGGGGUAUACUGCAAGCUUACAGCCUGGGUACGUACUGUAUUAA